CUGCAACUCGCCUGCAUGAAGUCGGAAUUGCUAGUAAUCGCAGAUCAGCAUGCUGCGGUGAAUACGUUCCCGGGUCUUGUACACACCGCCCGUCACACCAUGGGAGCCGGUAAUACCCGAAGUCAGUAGUCUAACCGCAAGGAGGACGCUGCCGAAGGUAGGAUUGGCGACUGGGGUGAAGUCGUAACAAGGUACC
rnacentral:rRNA from 1 species